AUUGAACGCUGGCGGCAGGCCUAACACAUGCAAGUCGAGCGGAGCGGCGGACGGGAGAGUAAUGCCUAGGAAUCUGCCCGGUAGUGGGGGAUAACGUCCGGAAACGGGCGCUAAUACCGCAUACUAUCAGAUGAGCCUAGGUCGGAUUAGCUAGUUGGGGGGGUAAAGGCCUACCAAGGCGACGAUCCGUUAAUGGUCUGAGAGGAUGAGCAGUCACACUGGAACUGAGACACGGUCCAGACUCCUACGGGAGGCAGCAGUGGGGAAUAUUGGACAAUGGGCGAAAGCCUGAUCCAGCCAUGCCGCGUGUGUGAAGAAGGUCUUCGGGUUGUAAAGCACUUUAAGUUGGGAGGCGUUACCAGCAGAAUAAGCACCGGCUAACUUCGUGCCAGCAGCCGCGGUAAUAC
rnacentral:rRNA from 1 species